AUCUGGCUGGCUCAGUUGGAAGAGCAUGAGACUCUUGAUCUCUGGUUGUGAGUUUGAGCCCCAUACUGGAUG
rnacentral:tRNA from 1 species